AGACGUCUACAUUAGAUACCCCUGUAGUCCCAGCCGUAAACUAUGCGCGUUAGGUGUAUCGGUGACCACGAGUCACCGAGGUGCCGAAGGGAAACCGUGAAACGUGCCGCCUGGGAAGUACGGCCGCAAGGCUGAAACUUAAAGGAAUUGGCGGGGAGCACCACAACGGGUGGAGCCUGCGGUUUAAUUGGACUCAACGCCGGGAAGCUCACCGGAUAAGACAGCGGAAUGAUUGCCGGGCUGAAGACUCUGCAUGACUAGCUG
rnacentral:rRNA from 1 species